AUUGAACGCUGGCGGCAGGCCUAACACAUGCAAGUCGAGCGCGCGGCGGACGGGUGAGUAAUGUAUGGGGACUGCCCGAUAGCGGGGGAUCACUACUGGAAACGGUGGCUAAUCCCGCAUCCUAUCGGAUAACCCAUAUGGGAUUAGCUAGUGGGUGGGGUAAAGGCCCACCUAGGCGACGAUCUCUAGCUGGUCUGAGAGGAUGAUAAGCCACACUGGGACUGAGACACGGCCCAGACUCCUACGGAGGCAGCAGUGGGGAAUAGUGCACAAUGGGCGCAGGCCUGGUGUAGCCAUGCCACGUGUAGUAAGAAGGCCCGAGGGUUGUAAAGGACUUUCAGUCGGGAGGCGGUACCGACAGAAGAAGCACCGGCUAACUCCGUGCCAGCCGCCGCGGUAAUUC
rnacentral:rRNA from 1 species